rnacentral:rRNA from 1 species
UACGGGGGGGGCAAGCGUUGUUCGGAAUUACUGGGCGUAAAGGGCUCGUAGGUGGCCAACUAAGUCAGACGUGAAAUCCCUCGGCUUAACCGGGGAACUGCGUCUGAUACUGGAUGGCUUGAGUUCGGGAGAGGGAUGCGGAAUUCCAGGUGUAGCGGUGAAAUGCGUAGAUAUCGGGAGGAAUACCAGUGGCGAAGGCGGCCUUCUGGACGGAUACUGACGCUGAGGCGCGAAAGCCAGGGGAGCAAACGGG